rnacentral:rRNA from 1 species
GACGGGGGGGGCAAGUGUUCUUCGGAAUGACUGGGCGUAAAGCGCGCGCAGGCGGUCCUUCAAGUCAGAGGUGAAAGCCCAGAGCUCAACUCUGGAACGGCCUUUGAGACUAGAGGACUUGGGUACGGGAGAGGUGGAGUGGAAUUCCGAGUGUAGAGGUGAAAUUCGUAGAUAUUCGGAAGAACACCAGUGGCGAAGGCGGCUCACUGGCCCGUUACCGACGCUCAGGCGCGACAGCGUGGGGAGCAAACAGG